UACGAAGGGGGCUAGCGUUGCUCGGAAUCACUGGGCGUAAAGGGUGCGUAGGCGGGUCUUUAAGUCAGGGGUGAAAUCCUGGAGCUCAACUCCAGAACUGCCUUUGAUACUGAAGAUCUUGAGUUCGGGAGAGGUGAGUGGAACUGCGAGUGUAGAGGUGAAAUUCGUAGAUAUUCGCAAGAACACCAGUGGCGAAGGCGGCUCACUGGCCCGAUACUGACACUGAGGCACGAAAGCGUGGGGAUCAAACAGG
rnacentral:rRNA from 1 species